GGAUGCGAUCAUACCAGCACUAAAGCACCGGAUCCCUUCAGAACUCCGAAGUUAAGCGUGCUUGGGCGAGAGUAGUACUAGGAUGGGUGACCUCCUGGGAAGUCCUUGUGUUGCAUUCC
rnacentral:rRNA from 1 species